AUUGAACGCUGGCGGCAGGCCUAACACAUGCAAGUCGAACGAGUGGCGGACGGGUGAGUAAUGUCUGGGAAACUGCCUGAUGGAGGGGGAUAACUACUGGAAACGGUAGCUAAUACCGCAUACCAUCAGAUGUGCCCAGGUGGGAUUAGCUAGUAGGGGGGGGAACGGCUCACCUAGGCGACGAUCCCUAGCUGGUCUGAAAGGCUGAUCAGUCACACUGGAACUGAGACCUGGUCCCAACUCCUACGGGAGGCAGCAGUGGGGAAUAUUGCACAAUGGGAGCAAGCCUGAUGCAGCCAUGCCGCGUGUAUGAAGAAGGCCUUCGGGUUGUAAAGUACUUUCAGCGGGGAGGCGUUACCCGCAGAAGAAGCACCGGCUAACUCCGUGCCAGCAGCCGCGGUAAUAC
rnacentral:rRNA from 1 species